rnacentral:rRNA from 1 species
UCCUGGCUCAGGACGAACGCUGGCGGCGUGCCUAAUACAUGCAAGUCGAGCGAGCCGAACCAAUUGAUUACCUUCGGGUAUGAAGUUAGGGAAGCGAGCGGCGGAUGGGUGAGUAACACGUGGGUAACCUACCCUAUAGUCUGGGAUACCACUUGGAAACAGGUGCUAAUACCGGAUAAAAGGAGAGAUCACAUGAUUUCUUUUUGAAAGGCGGCGUAAGCUGUCGCUAAAGGAUGGACCCGCGGUGCAUUAGCUAGUUGGUAAGGUAACGGCUUACCAAGGCAACGAUGCAUAGCCGAGUUGAGAGACUGAUCGGCCACAUUGGGACUGAGACACGGCCCAAACUCCUACGGGAGGCAGCAGUAGGGAAUCUUCCACAAUGGACGCAAGUCUGAUGGAGCAACGCCGCGUGAGUGAAGAAGGUUUUCGGAUCGUAAAGCUCUGUUGUUGGUGAAGAAAGAUAGUGAGAGUAACUGCUCAUUAUUUGCCGGUAAUCAACCAGAAAGUCACGGCUAACUACGUGCCAGCAGCCGCGGUAAUACGUAGGUGGCAAGCGUUGUCCGGAUUUAUUGGGCGUAAAGCGAGCGCAGGCGGAAAGAUAAGUCAGAUGUGAAAGCCCUCGGCUUAACCGAGGAAUAGCAUCGGAAACUGUCUUUCUUGAGUGCAGAAGAGGAGAGUGGAACUCCAUGUGUAGCGGUGGAAUGCGUAGAUAUAUGGAAGUACACCAGUGGCGAAGGCGGCUCUCUGGUCUGUAACUGACGCUGAGGCUCGAAAGCAUGGGUAGCGAACAGGAUUAGAUACCCUGGUAGUCCAUGCUGUAAACGAUGAGUGCUAAGUGUUGGGAGGUUUCCGCCUCUCAGUGCUGCAGCUAACGCAUUUAGCACUCCGGCCUGGGGAGUACGACCGCAAGGUUAAACUCAAGGAAUUGACGGGGGCCCGCACAAGCGG